rnacentral:lncRNA from 1 species
ACCGGAACAAGGGAGAGAGCAACCAAACGAACCAAGAAAGAGAGUAGAGGAUUCAAUUGCAAGAACUACAGAGUGAAGCAGAACGGCCAUUGUAAAGAAUACUUCCCAUAUGCCAUCAAUUACUAAAUGACGCGGUCUAUACAAAGAAAAGGACAAAUCACAUACUUAAACACAAAUUCUGGAGGUAUAUUGGUUCAAUGAUAACGGUGGAAGCCUGUAUGGAAUACAGAGUAUUACGAAUUGAUUAUAGUAGAGUUGGAGUCUAAUGGAUGUUUGUGCUUAACUAUUCAGAGCUGGUUCAAGGUAAUUUUCGACAUAGUUUAGAGCUGGUUUUCAGCAUAUGGACUAAUGUAAUGCAGCCGCGGUGUUUUGGUACUGCACCUGCUACGUAGCGGAGUUUUUUCCUCCCUACGUUCUGAUUUGUCUCUGUGUUCCAGCUGCAACAUAUCGGUUUUAUUUUCUUCUCUUUUCCUCUGUCUUCAAGUGUUUUGGCUAAAAAAAAAAGUAAUGUCUUUAUGUAGUCUCAAAACUAUAUGUAAUCCUUACAAAAAUCUGUUAUGAACCUUAGUGGAUUAGUUGUUGUGAGCAGCAUUUCAAGGAAGCAAAUUUAAGACAUAGUACAUGAUCAUUGAAGAACUGCUUGGGGCUGUCAAUUGCAUGCUAAAUUUAUAAGUAUAAGUUUGGAACUAUUUAUUGAUUGUAAUUUUAUUUGUGUAAGUCAACUGAUAAAGGUUAAU